rnacentral:rRNA from 1 species
GAGCUUGCUCUUAUGAAGUUAGCGGCGGACGGGUGAGUAACACGUGGGUAACCUGCCCAUAAGACUGGGAUAACUCCGGGAAACCGGGGCUAAUACCGGAUAACAUUUUGAACCGCAUGGUUCGAAAUUGAAAGGCGGCUUCGGCUGUCACUUAUGGAUGGACCCGCGUCGCAUUAGCUAGUUGGUGAGGUAACGGCUCACCAAGGCAACGAUGCGUAGCCGACCUGAGAGGGUGAUCGGCCACACUGGGACUGAGACACGGCCCAGACUCCUACGGGAGGCAGCAGUAGGGAAUCUUCCGCAAUGGACGAAAGUCUGACGGAGCAACGCCGCGUGAGUGAUGAAGGCUUUCGGGUCGUAAAACUCUGUUGUUAGGGAAGAACAAGUGCUAGUUGAAUAAGCUGGCACCUUGACGGUACCUAACCAGAAAGCCACGGCUAACU